CCCCCCCCAUCCCCGCCGUUGUCAUGGCGACGGCCCGCGACGGGCGCAGCCAAGAUGGCGUCGCCGCAACCGCCACGGCGGCCCGCGCAGGCCACACUCCGGCUGAGCAGUGAGAGGUACCUGCGGGCCCAGCCCACCCUCCGGCCGCUGCUGGGGGGCUUCCUCAGGGAGCUGCUGCGCCAGCGGCCGGACGAUGUCCUGGAGUUCGCCACCGGUGAGUGGG